ACCGGUUCCACGUCCACAUUCUGCCCCCUGGACACGUUGAUGUUCGUCAAAUAUAAAGGUACAUCGCCCAUUGUGAGGAUGCUAAACGACGUCUGUCCUCCACCCGCUGAACCGGAAGUGCCGCACACGACAUGUGCAGGAUGACAGACGAGGAAGAUUCCGGAGCCUCUAGAGCGAGAGAGUGAAAUGGAUAGAGGACUUGUCAUUUAUGGUCGGAGCCGGUGCCAGUGUAUGCCUCGGUAUGAGGUGGUGUACAAGUGAGAGACAAACCCCACACGGCUAAAACUGGCACAUGGUUCAACCUCUUGGCAACUAUCCGAGGGUAACAAUUACCGAAGCGUGGUACUCUUGGGGGACAUCCCACCUUCCCGUGGCUACCUAAUUCAAAUGAGUUUCCCUGCAUUCAGAUGGUGAGAAGAGACACGGGAAGAAGACGGAAGACCUGAAAUAGCCUUCUGAAACAGCCCGGAGCAUGAUGGGAGAGCAGCCUGCCUUAAUUCCCACCCCUUGUCCUUAAACGUGUGAGCACGCGCAAAAAAACAGAUGUCUGUUUACUUUCUCCUCCCUUCUCAUUUGAUUUAAAUAAAAGCCACCCAGUUCAAUUGACAUGUCGGAGAGAAAAUCAGAGUGAAGCAGGAAUUUACGAGUAAACAUUUCAUUUAUGCACCCCUCUCAUGUUUAUUCAUUCAUGACAAGGGCUAUAGUGAUGGAAAGUAAUGUUUCCGUUUUGGGCUAUUCAUUAGCUUGUGUAUCGCCUGAGGUGUAGCAGCCGCCUGUAAUGGUUGAAGCGAUGUUAUUGAAAGUACCAUGCGGAUUUUCAGUUCAUAUUCAUUUACUGUAGCAACAGUGGAAAAAGAGCCACGUUGCCACGUCUUUGUGUAGAGGGAGAAUGAGGGAACGGCGUUGUGUGUGUUUGUGCCCCAAUUCCUUCCUAUAUAUUUCAGAGGGAAAUUGUUUUAGUGACAGCACUGUUUCCGGAUGCGCUCAUCACUCAAGCCAAGGUCUCAGGUGUGAGAUGUUAAGAUACAUCAAGGCAUCGCUGAUCAAUAUUGAUCGAUCCGUGCAACUUCUGUGUAUACUUGCGGCCAUUUUGUGUGAUUCUAUUUAUGUCAUUAAUAUGAAAGACUUGGUGUCAGCUGUUAACCUUGCACAGAACUUGACUAAAUCACAAGGAGUGGAAAUGAAUGGAGUUGGUGGUUAAUGCAUUCUUGGAGCAGGACGGAUGAGGAAGAGUGUUUGUGUUAUAUAACGUGACACCAGAUGGUUUAAAAAGCGCACUUAUAUGAAUUUGUGGUUGUGGGAUUGGAUGUGUGAAGGAAUGCAAUGAGAUGUGCUUUUUUUGGUUUGAGGUUGUGUUGACUUUUUUUCUUGAAACCACUUAAAAUGCUAGUUUAAUGCAAAAGCACGAAAUCGACUUGAAUUAUUUUAGUCCAAACAUUUUUUUUGCGGUAAUUUAAUCCUGAAAAUAAUCCAGAAUACAUUACACUAUAGAUGAAUAAAGGGUCAAAUACCUCACUUGAAGUCUAUCUUGUAUUAUGUUUAACAAUAUGGAAUUUGUCUGCGGUCUGUACAAUGGCUGCAACCACAAAUUUUUUUCACUGCUGUCUUGAAGGCACAUUUCUAGAAACUAGUCACCUUGUGGAGACAGAUGUUGGAGAGUCUGACAAAUGAUGGUAUCCAGUAGAGCAAAAUAGACCAGAAUAACACAGUAAGAGUUGAAAAUAACAGAGAAAGGUGAAGCCAAAUGCAACAAAACUGACAGUGAACCAAAUGGAAAGAGCAGCGGACUCCAAUCCGGUUGAUACAGAAGAAAUUGUGGGCGGAGCUAAUUAGACAAUAAAACAAAAGUGAGACUGAUUAGCUAACAAUGACGCAAGAGCAUGGCUAAUAAAAUCCGGAGACAUUAUAAUUAAUGGAAAAGGUUGAGGAAAAAAAAUAAUAAAACAUACUAACUCCACAGAUGAGGACCAGAACCCGAGCAAAUAUUUCCAGAACGACCUCAUGAAUGGUACCUGAUGGCAGCCGACCACAAGCUGCCAAAAUAACAACUCAGUCGAUCUGUCGGCAUCUGUUAGCGCACAUUUCCAAAGAGGUAUUUUUCAACCAUAUGUUAUUUAUCUCUUUACAUGCAGUUUGAUACGUUUCGAGCAUUGUCAAAUGUAAUCAUUUAUUUGCGGUGAAUCAUUUCACAAGAGCCUUGAUUAGAACUGUAAUGUUUUAUAUUGAUAACAGUUGUACUGUUGUCGGUUUCCUGCAGGCAGGAUGAUAAUCGGACGUUUAAUGCAACACAUCCGUGGCAGGAUGAUGCUAAAUAUAAAUCGAAUCUGUCUGACUUCAUUUCAGCAACACCUGUUCAGCAUUCAUUGCUUUAGAAUGCAUUAUAAACUAAUUCCAUGACAGUCUUUCCUGCCAAAUAAAUAUAACAAAAUGGGGAAAGAGCUCGUAUCUAUUGAGAACAAAUAGCGAUGAGGGAAAAUGUUUUCCGAAUGGGAUAGAACGGCUGUUUGCUCUUCACAUGUGCAACCUAUCCACAAAAUGUCACGGAAAUUGUCACGGUAAUCAUGCCAACUAACAACAACAAACAAACCAAUCCACUGGUGAAAACAA